rnacentral:tRNA from 1 species
UGCGGAUUGAUGUAACGGUAACAUAAUUGGCUCAUGACCAGUGUUUAAGGGUUCAAAUCCUUUGUCCGCAC